AUUGAACGCUGGCGGCAGGCCUAACACAUGCAAGUCGAACGAGUGGCGGACGGGUGAGUAAUGUCUGGGAAACUGCCCGAUGGAGGGGGAUAACUACUGGAAACGGUAGCUAAUACCGCAUACCAUCGGAUGUGCCCAGAUGGGAUUAGCUUGUAGGUGAGGUAACGGCUCACCUAGGCGACGAUCCCUAGCUGGUCUGAGAGGAUGAACAGUGAAAUUGGAACGGAGACACGGACGAGAAGCCUACGGGAGGCAGCAGUGGGGAAUAUUGGACAAGGGGAGCAAGCCUGAUACAGCCAUGCCGCGUGGAUGAAGAAGGCUGUCGGGUUGUAAAGUACUUUCAGCGGGGAGGCGUUACCCGCAGAAGAAGCACCGGCUAACUCCGUGCCAGCAGCCGCUGUAAUUC
rnacentral:rRNA from 1 species